CCUAACACAUGCAAGUCGAACGGGAAGCGGUGCAUAUUGCUUCGGUGAUAAUGUGCCGUGGAGAGUGGCGAACGGGUGCGUAACACGUAGGUAACCUGCCCUGAAAGGGGGGAUAACCACGGGAAACUGUGGCUAAUACCGUAUAAUCUCGCCGUGGCGGUGGUUACGGUGAGGAAAGCUGAGGCGAUCUGGGAGGGGCCUGCGGUCGAUUAGCUGGUUGGUGGGGUAAAGGCCCACCAAGGCGAUGAUCGAUAGCUGUUCUGAGAGGAAGACCAGCCACACUGGAACCGAGACACGGUCCAGACUCCUAC
rnacentral:rRNA from 1 species